UUGAAAGUACACAAGCUAAAACUAUAGUAUUCUCAUUCCAGAAAAUGUUGCAUUUCUUUUUUCUAUCAGUAUAUAAUCAAGGAAUUAUUUCCAUCCCGGAAUUCGACAAAGUACUUCACACAUAGGAGGAGACCAUCUCCACCACUGGAGAGCAGCAGCCACCCGGAGUCAUCCUGCUCCUGCAGUCCCGCUGCACAGCCGAGCCGGUGGAGAGGAGAGGGAAGGUUUUCACAAGUGGAACUGAGGGGGAACUCGAGGGGGGUCAAAUUGUAAAAGCCCAGAGUCGGGUUUACCUGUGAUUAUCGCCUCCACUCUUGUGAACGAUACCAUGGGAUCCCCGUAGAGCAAGCAGUCAGAGCCACGGUUUGAAGUCUGACCUAAAGGAUGGCACCUCCUGCCACCUCAGUGGAACGCUGGUUUGGAAGUUCUGGUCCACCGGCACCACCUACAGCAGCAAACUGGAGAAGUCUCCCAUCCCAGUACUGACCAGGCCCAGCCUUGCUGAGCUUUAGAGACAAGAUGCCGACGGGCUGCAAGGUGGUGAAGUUUCUAAUGCAGGACCGCUGUUGCAGCAGAGGGGUUCCAGGAGAUCUCUCUUUGAGCUGUUUUGUGAUGACGCACACCGCUGUAACGGAAGGUGUCCACCUACCUGUUUUCGCUGGCCCUUCGCCUGUGUUUGCUCAGCGGUGGAAGCCAGAAGGCAGAGUCGGUGACCAGGCAGGUGGAGUACAGUGAGCGCCGCCAGUUCAGCUCCAGUGGCGCAGAGGCAGUAAGUAGCACUGGUCCCCGUCCUGCCCACCGGCGGUUCAGAGACCGUCCCGCGCUCGAACAGCCUGCGACGAGGGUGAGGAAAUCAGCGAGGUGCUGAAGCAGGAUUGUCAGUUUUGCCUUAACGGCGUCACGUUAGGAUGAGCUCCAAGGGAAAAGCAGUACGUGGGCUCCCAGGACUUAAUCAAUGUAAUGCCUUGCAGUCAGUUGCUAUCGCUCUUUGCAAGUGGAGGUGUAUAGUAACACUCCGGUCCAGACCAUUAUGCAUGGACUUCCUCUUCGAUUGGUGCUUUUUGCCAAACACAUCGCAUAUUGUUCUGCUUGUCUCCACCAUCCUUGCUGCUCAUGUGGUCAACAGGGUGGUCUCUCACUGAGCAGGACGUGGCUCCGAUGCUGUUGAGUCCACCUGAAGUGCUCUCAACAUACCAGUGAUGUAAAAGUGUUGUUGUCUUUAUAAGCGGAGCAUAUCGGUUACUUUCUUUGCCAUUUUGAUAGGCUUAACACUGAGCAGGUUAAAUAACCAUAUCACCUGUGCCAGCUCAACACUUUCACCAAUAAAAGUGAUUCCCUGUCAGUGAGGAAUGAAUCAAUAAAUUAAAAUGACACCAAAAAUUUUCAUCGGUAUCCAGAAGCACUGUCUGUUUAAAUUAGACUGACUCUCAAAGACAGACGUACGACAGCAGCUGAUGAUCUGAGUUUGGAACAGCAAAAUCUAAACCACAGUGUUGUUUUAUAAACUAAACUGAGUUUGCAGAGUCUGAUCCUCUUCGUGAGGAAUGCAUCUGUGACUUAAAGAGAGCAUUAAGGCUCAGACAGAAAUGGUUUGCCAAAAGUAUUAAACUUUGACCCUAGUUCUUUUUAUAAACACAGCAGAAUACCAAAAACUGAACUGGCUUGCUCUCCGGUGACGUACUGUAAAAGAUUAUAACUUUCCACUUAUUUGACACUGUUAUGCAGAGUAGCUUACAUUUGUACACAUUUAUAUAUCCGGGCAUUUUCCUGGAGCAGUCUGAGCAAAGCGCCUUGCUCAAGGGUAUGACACCUGUGUUUCACCUUGGAUAUGAACCCACCACCUUCUAGUUACAAUUCUAAAGUCCUCCAGAUUGCUGCCUUUAAGAGACACUUUGCACUUCUGGUAACUGCAUUGCCAUAUGUUGUGUUAUACUGUACUUCUAACAUUUUGAUGUUUCCGACCUCUUAACCCUGUCGUAUCGGGAAGAAGCUGCCCAGUCGUGAAGUUGAAGCCGAUGCCCUACUAACUACCAGAUGGCAGGGGGACUCAAAUUUCCUCCUCUUAAAGAAAUAUAUAUAUAUCUCCAGAAAACAAAUUCUAUGUGUGUUCAUCAGGGUGAAGGAUGUUUAAUCUAUAAGCUUUGUUUAGAAUGUUGUGUACAGUUUUGGUUGCCACCUUGUAGGAAAGAUAUCGCUGCUCUAGAAUCAGUCCAGAGAAGAGCAACCAGAUGCAUUCUUGGGAUCAAGGGGAUGAACUACAGUGACAGGGUGCAGGAGCUGAAUCUCUUUAGUCUUGAACAGGGGCGACUCGGAGUGGAUCUGAUUCCAGUAUUCGACACAAUUCUUCAGAACCAACAGUGGAACAAUGAAGGAAAUGUGUGGCCUGAGGUCACUUCAGGCCAGUCUGUUAGUGGGAGGCUAUAGGUAGUGAUUUUGAAGUAGAACAAUGGUCCGAUUUCUAAAGCGGAUAUUUUAAGACAUUAUCUAGAGAGAAUGUUUUCUGUUUUGGGGUUCAGGGUGACGUUACAGCACCACUUUAGUUUGUAAUUCCAAAAUGCCCCUCACACAAGUGAUAUUUGUCUCCCCCAGCUUUCCACAAAACACAUGUGAUCGACGCCAUAUUACAUUCUCAUAUCGCUUAGACAUCGGAGCUAUUUUUGUGCUCUUCUUUAAAUAGAAAAGUAGCAUGAGUUCCUGCCUUCCUGCAAUGUGCGUCAAAAAGUUGAUUUGAAUGCACGAAAGGUGUUAGAUGAUAGAAGUCCCGAGCGGUAAUGUCCAGUAAUUAAGGAGACAUGUUUGACUGUAGUUGUUUUUCUAAACCGGCCACUCUCUGAUUAGCCACCCUGCAUGCGCCGGUGCUGUCGGGUGUUGGCGUAUCAGGCUGGAAAUUCCCUCCCCAACCCGGUCACUAGUCUCUGAACGCCUGAAAGGAUGUGAUGAAAUGUUUUCUGAGUCAGCUUGUUUGUUGCUGGGUCGAAUACAGCUCGGUGGAAAGCAGGAAAGUGGGUGAAGCCAGGAAGGCUGAGCUAACCGCGCCGUGCCUCCUGCUUGCGCUCGGCCGUGCCGCUGCGCUGCCUGAGCACUCGGGAGCCGUGCGACCGCCCGGCGGCUGGGAGCUGGGUGUGACCGGCUGUCCGGCGGGGGAGCAGGGUGCUGGCAAGAGCUCGUUCAGCGAAAAGCAAGCCUUGCGCCCUGGGCGGCGCAAACAGACGGCUUCGUGUUCCUGGCCUUCUCAGUUGGUUUGGUUCCUUGUCUUCUUUCCUUGCAGCGGCGAUCGAUGCCUCAGACGAGUUGUUCAUCCAGUCUGCAGGGGUCCGCAAGGGUCUGAAAGGGCCUGCGCUUUGUAUCUGCACUUCUGCCACACAACAGCAAGUCUGUCUCUCCCUCGGCGGUGGGGACUGUGCAGUGCAGACCUGGUUUUGCCAUGGUGCCUGGCACGGUAAAGUGCCUGUGACUGUGUGCACUACAGACAAUUCACUUCUAUCAUCCUUACCUGCUAAUUAUUCUCAUCUCACCCCCAACAUGCACUUUGACUGGUCCUGGAUUCUGAGCUUAUUCUCGGACAUCAGUGGGGGUAAAUGAAUGAACUGAACUGACGGGGAAAGUCCGACAACAUGAAGUGGGCCUUGAUGAGUUUGACGUCUUGCCCACACUUGAACGGAGCGCACUGCUGCCGCGACGCCCUGCAGGGUUUCUGCUCUGGGGCUCAAGAUGCAGAACUGCAGCUGCAGCUAGAGCAGGCUUGUGGCUUUUGAGCUCCUUUUGGAAUCCCGCUGAAAUAUUAGCCACGGGAUGAACAGAAGCUGAAAGCCGAGCCUGGCGUGGCUGGGGAGGAGUGGUUUGUUCAGAAGAUCGAAAAGCUUGUUGAUUUCUGAUAAAACGGUGCGUUUUAAUGAGAUUGUCACGGAAAGGUCGGUUCUUGUCACACGGAGCCCUUUUGUUUUGAUGUGGAACACUGCUGUAUUGUCGUACCGUGGCACGAACAAUAGAUAUUCCAGGCGCUGCUUUCCACUCGUUUCUGGAAUGUGGGGGCGCAGUUGUGUAUGCAGGUGGCCCUCUGUUCCCGUUGUUUCCACAGCGGCACUGAUGGAGGGUGACUCUGGGUUGCGGGUUUGCCCACAGAGCCUGGUGCUGCAGUGAUGAGCUGGGGUUCACUCCUGCCUCUGGACGGAAAGCUGCAGGCCUCCCACGGAUGUUUUGCGAUGUGCAUUUCAGUUUUGACUUAGUUGGUGGAUUUCGCACACAGACUCACGUCAGGGUCAGUUUUCCCAGAUGCCAGACUUUGGACUGUGGGAGGGAGAACUGGAGAACCCAGAGGAAGCCCUCACAAAUGUGGGGAGAACUUGCAGACUCCACACAGACAGUACCCAUUGACCCAGUUCUGCGUGACAGCAAAGCUGACCGCUGCGCCACCUUGUUUCGAUCUAAAGAAACGGAUAGACGAUUCCUGGACUUGGAGGGGAUUGGCUUC